CGGUGAAAUUGCGCCCAUGCGCAGUGAAAUAUUGCUUACGCAAUGUGAAAUAUGGCUCCGCCAUGUGAAAUCCGCC
rfam:Clostridium sp. CAG:226 genomic scaffold, scf534